UGGGGAAUCUUGCGCAAUGGGCGGAAGCCUGACGCAGCAACGCCGCGUGAACGAAGAAGGCCUUCGGGUUGUAAAGUUCUGUCAGGGGGGACGAAGAGGUGACGGUACCCCCAGAGGAAGCCCCGGCUAACUACGUGCCAGCAGCCGCGGUAACACGUAGGGGGCGAGCGUUGUCCGGAAUUACUGGGCGUAAAGGGCGUGUAGGCGGCCGAUCAAGUCAGGUGUGAAAAAUCAGGGCUUAACCCUGAUCGUGCACUUGAAACUGGUUGGCUUGAGUGCAGGAGAGGAAAGUGGAAUUCCCAGUGUAGCGGUGAAAUGCGUAGAUAUUGGGAGGAACACCAGUGGCGAAGGCGACUUUCUGGACUGCAACUGACGCUGAGGCGCGAAAGCUAGGGGAGCAAACAGG
rnacentral:rRNA from 1 species